CGCGGGUUAUCGUUAUGUGGUAAACGAGUAGUCUCAUAAGCUAAGAUAGCGGAUUCGAACGCCGUCCCCGCUCCCA
rnacentral:tRNA from 1 species